ACGAGAAUCCACGUUGUCGAGCAGCGUCCCCAUUAUUGGCAGUACAAUACCCGCCACGGGUCCCCUCGGAAUUUUGAGUCAACGUCAGAUAUAAGUGCAGAACCCCCAGUAGCCGUGUUUGGCAAAGUUCAACAACCCCCCCCCCCAUCAACCUUACCUAAGAGCGGGGGACAACUUUCUCUGAGAGAAGGCGGGAUCUCCUGCGGCGGUUCCAAACUCCUUUAUCCUUCAUGCAAUCAGCCAGCUCUGUCAUGGUCUCCACGCGCACAUCUCUCCUCAGGACGGACGAUUGGACCGCGUCCGUCGACAAGGCUAUUUUAUUGGAACCGGACCUGGGGUUAACUUCGCUGGUGCUCGUUUGGCUGUGACUGAACAUUGGAGCAAAACAGCUGCGACCAGAAGAACAGUGAGGAAUGAAAGCAAAGGAUGCAACAAUACGAUGUUUUUCACCGUAUAAGUCGCUCUUCAAGGUCCUUGGGGUAUCGCGCAUGCGCUCUGAUGAGGAGGAAUUGCUUCCCGAUCCACUGUUCACGUGGCCCUCACGCAGAAAGACCACGA